rnacentral:rRNA from 1 species
UACGUAGGUGGCAAGCGUUGUCCGGAUUUACUGGGCGUAAAGAGCUCGUAGGCGGUUUGUUGCGUCGGCUGUGAAAACCUGAGGCUCAACCUCAGGCCUGCAGUCGAUACGAGCAGACUAGAGUGUUGCAGGGGAGACUGGAAUUCCUGGUGUAGCGGUGAAAUGCGCAGAUAUCAGGAGGAACACCGGUGGCGAAGGCGGGUCUCUGGGCAACAACUGACGCUGAGGAGCGAAAGCGUGGGGAGCGAACAGG